UCUCUGAAGGACUAGCGGUUAGGCCACAGCACUCUCACCGCUACAACCUGCGUUCGAUUCCUGGUCAGGGAA